UACGAAGGGGGCUAGCGUUGCUCGGAAUCACUGGGCGUAAAGCGCACGUAGGCGGAUUUGUAAGUCAGGGGUGAAAUCCCGGGGCUCAACCCCGGAACUGCCUUUGAUACUGGGUAUCUCGAGUCCGGAAGAGGUGAGUGGAAUUCCGAGUGUAGAGGUGAAAUUCGUAGAUAUUCGGAGGAACACCAGUGGCGAAGGCGGCUCACUGGUCCGGUACUGACGCUGAGGUGCGAAAGCGUGGGGAGCAAACAGG
rnacentral:rRNA from 1 species